ACGAACGCUGGCGGCGUGCUUAACACAUGCCAGUCGAACGGAAAGGCCCUGCUUUUGUGGGGUGCUCGAGUGGCGAACGGGUGAGUAACACGUGAGUAACCUGCCCUUGACUUUGGGAUAACUUCAGGAAACUGGGGCUAAUACCGGAUAGGAGCUCCUGCUGCAUGGUGGGGGCUGGAAAGUUUCGGCGGUUGGGGAUGGACUCGCGGCCUAUCAGCUUAGUGGUGGGGUAGUGGCUUACCAAGGCUUUGACUGGUAGCCGGGCUGAGAGGGUGACCGGACCAGUUUGGACCGAAGUACGGCCCAGACUCCUACGGGAGGCAGCAGUGGGGAAUAUUGCACAAUGGGCGGAAGCCUGAUGCAGCAACGCCGCGUGCGGGAUAACGGCCUUCGGGUUGUAAACCGCUUUCGCCUGUGACGAAGAGUGAGUGACGGUAAUGGGUAAAGAAGCACCGGCUAACUACGUG
rnacentral:rRNA from 1 species